rnacentral:rRNA from 1 species
AGAGUUUGAUCCUGGCUCAGAUUGAACGCUGGCGGCAGGCCUAACACAUGCAAGUCGAGCGGUAACAUUUCUAGCUUGCUAGAAGAUGACGAGCGGCGGACGGGUGAGUAAUGCUUGGGAACAUGCCUUGAGGUGGGGGACAACAGUUGGAAACGACUGCUAAUACCGCAUAAUGUCUAACGGACCAAAGGGGGCUUCGGCUCUCGCCUUUAGAUUGGCCCAAGUGGGAUUAGCUAGUUGGUGAGGUAAUGGCUCACCAAGGCGACGAUCCCUAGCUGGUUUGAGAGGAUGAUCAGCCACACUGGGACUGAGACACGGCCCAGACUCCUACGGGAGGCAGCAGUGGGGAAUAUUGCACAAUGGGCGCAAGCCUGAUGCAGCCAUGCCGCGUGUGUGAAGAAGGCCUUCGGGUUGUAAAGCACUUUCAGUCAGGAGGAAAGGUUAGUAGUUAAUACCUGCUAGCUGUGACGUUACUGACAGAAGAAGCACCGGCUAACUCCGUGCCAGCAGCCGCGGUAAUACGGAGGGUGCGAGCGUUAAUCGGAAUUACUGGGCGUAAAGCGUACGCA